rnacentral:rRNA from 1 species
CUUCCGCCGGCGACCGGCGCACGGGUGAGUAACACGUAUGCAACCUGCCCCUGUCAGGGGGACAACCCGCCGAAAGGCGGGCUAAACCCGCGUACAUGCCACCGGGGCAUCCCGGAGGCAGGAAAGGCUUCGGCCGGACAGGGAUGGGCAUGCGGCGCAUUAGGCAGUAGGCGGGGUAACGGCCCACCGAGGCGACGAUGCGUAGGGGUUCUGAGAGGAAGGUCCCCCACACUGGUACUGAGACACGGACCAGACUCCUACGGAAGGCAGCAG